rnacentral:lncRNA from 1 species
CUAAUGCUUGAGAGAUAUCCGAAAAUAAAAAAAAAUUCUGUUUUCGUGGUGAUGUCAGAUUAAGCCACCCACUCAAGAUAAAGAAGCUAAAACUGACUUUAUAUUACUUCAGAAGUUUAGUUGCUGUUUGAUUGUUGAUCUGUCACUAUCGUGUCCGCUAUUGUGAAUAACGUAUCGUCAUUAACAUGUUUAUCAACCCAAUGAUCGUAAUAAGACUGUUGCUUCUUACAUUUGAAGUAAUAAACAUUCCUGACAGUGCUGUUAUCAAUAAUAAAAUGGAAUUGAAAGAAAGUUUCGAGAGAAUUCUGAAGGCUCCUGUGGCAGAGUUCAAUCAGUUAGAAAUCGUGGAAGAUACGACAUUAGCUUUUCAAGAACUUUUUAAAGAUGUCAUAGUAGAAUCUGUCGAAGAUCAUGACAUUGAAUGGGGUCUUGGAGAAUCUCCAUUAAAGCCCGGAAACGUGUACUGAUGAUGAAGAAGAUUUGAGCUAUGAGUACAAACAAAAAGCGGUAGAAUUUUGGAGAAGUGCAAAAACGAAACGAAAUAGGAAAAUAGAAACAGUACAAAAGAGUUUCAAACUUGUCAAGUCGGUGCUCCAGUUGAGACGCUGAGCUCACCAGUUGAAUAAAGGCGGUACUUUCAAGGAGAAAUUGUCGCCUAUUUCUGAAUACACAAUUAAUAAUUUCAAAAGCGCGAUAGACGCAGGACUCAUUGUGCAUCGAUUUGUGAAGGUGAGCGUUACAGGCUUAACAAUUGAUCGGAUAGUUAUACCAUACAGCUAACAAUUCCCGCGGAAGGGAAAGUGCUGUUACCACUUCUUAUAAUUUUGAAAGACCUUUCUGGACGGUUGGCACCGAUCGUAGAGCAAACUAUUUUUCAACCUUCCAAUGUCUUCAUAAGUGUUUCGAAAUCUACCAAGGCAACACCAGAAAAUUUUAAAACAUGCCUUCAAGAAGUGUUUUUCCCAAACAUCGAUAAGAAAAGUGUCCUUUUGAUUGACUCUUGGAGCGAACAUUGCCCCAGAAUUGUCGACGAAGCUACACCGCAUAAUAAAGAGAUUGUUACAAUGAUUAUACCAAAAGGGACGACGGGGAACAUUCAGCCUCUUUUUGUUUUCGGAUUUAAAAUUUGGAAAAUUUAUGUGAGAUAUUUUCCCGACAGUGUCAUGUUACUUGAUUAUAAUUUAAAUCUACAUUAACUUGCUACAUUUACUUAUUACUAUUAAUUAUUAAUUGUAUAUUUAGAAAUAGGCGACAAUUUCUCCUUGUAAGUACCGCCUUUAUUCAACUGGUGAGCCCAGUGUCUUAACUGCAGCACCGACUUGACAAGUUUGAAACUCUUUUGUACUGUUUCUAUUUUCCUAUUUCGUUUCGUUUUUGCACUUCUCCAACAUUCUACCGCUUUUUGUUUGUACUCAUAGCUCAAAUCUUCUUCAUCAUCAGUACACGUUUCCGGGCUUUAAUGGAGAUUCUCCAAGACCCCAUUCGAUGUCAUGAUCUUCGACAGGUUCUACUAUGACAUCUUUAAAAAGUUCUUGAAAAUCUAAUGUCGUAUCUUCCACGAUUUCUAACUGAUUGAACUCUGCCACAGGAGCCUUCAGAAUUCUCUCGAAACUUUCUUUCAAUUCCAUUUUAUUAUUGAUAACAGCACUGUCAGGAAUGUUUAUUACUUCAAAUGUAAGAAACAACAGUCUUAUUACGUUCAUUGGGUUGAUAAACAUGUUAAUGACGAUACGUUAUUCACAAUAGCGGACACGAUAGUAACAGAUCAACAAUCAAACAGCAACUAAACUUCUGGAGUAAUAUAAAGUCAGUUUUAGCUUCUUUAUCUUGAGUGGGUGGCUUAAUCUGACAUCACCACGAAAACAGAAUUUUUUUUUAUUUUCGGAUAUCUCUCAAGCAUUAGCCUGAGCGAGCUGGCUUUUUUAAGAACACUGGGCUACGAGCCGCUAUAGCGGUUCUUGAUAUGAAUAAGAAUAUGGCAAGGCUUGAGUCAGCUUGUUUACAUUCUGGGCGGUGGAUUGUCGAUGCGACGCUUGAUAUUUGAGUUUUAUUUUAUUUUCGUAAAGCAUUCAAAAUAGAAACUUAUAUAAAUAAAAACGGAAACUAACACUUCUGUACAUACGUAAAGCAUAUCAAAGUAUUCGAUUCUCUAUAUGAUUAUGAUGGCAGCGGAUGAACAUGUGAAAUAAAUAUCAUUCAGCAUAUAAGUCGAUACGCAAUGAUAAUAGAACCAUUUGAAUUGAAUGUAAACAUUUCGAUUGUUGUGUCCGCGAAGAUCGUCGCGAAGGGACGAGUUAUCAAGGACGAUCGGCACAAAGUGAAAUUCAAGAUUUUACGACUCUUUUACCUAUAUGAUUCUCUAUAUGAUUAUGAUGGCAGCCGAUGAAAAUGUGAAAUAAAUAUCAUUUAGCAUAUAAGUCGAUACGCAAUGAUAAUGGAACCAAUCAGUCUCGUCACAUAAAUUCGAGACUGACUGGAAGUAUUCAGGUCUCAUCAUUGCAAUUAUUAUCUCAUAAAAACAGUAUUGUUAUUAAUCCCAUCAAUUAAUUUAUCGUUAAAUUUAGCAAACUUAAGAUAAUGAAACUUGUUAAGCUGAAUCUGGAUCACAAGCAAUCAAUUUGUUGUUCAUUAAUAAAGUGAAAAUUCUCUAGAAACA